AUUGAACGCUGGCGGCAUGCUUUACACAUGCAAGUCGAACGGCAGCGCGGGCUUCGGCCUGGCGGCGAGUGGCGAACGGGUGAGUAAUACAUCGGAACGUGCCCAGUAGUGGGGGAUAGCUCGGCGAAAGCCGGAUUAAUACCGCAUACGACCUGAGGGUGAAAGCGGGGGAUCUUCGGACCUCGCGCUAUUGGAGCGGCCGAUGGCAGAUUAGCUAGUUGGUGGGGUAAAGGCCUACCAAGGCGACGAUCCGUAGCUGGUCUGAGAGGACGACCAGCCACACUGGGACUGAGACACGGCCCAGACUCCUACGGGAGGCAGCAGUGGGGAAUUUUGGACAAUGGGCGAAAGCCUGAUCCAGCAAUGCCGCGUGUGUGAUGAAGGCCUUCGGGUUGUAAAGCACUUUUGGCGGGAACGAAAAGGACUGUGCCAAUACCACGGUUCGAUGACGGUACCCGCAGAAUAAGCACCGGCUAACUACAUG
rnacentral:rRNA from 1 species